rnacentral:lncRNA from 1 species
GUUGGAACAUAAGUUUACCUCUAACUCUUGUCUGAGUCAUGAAGAAUGGAGAAACAGAAGAGGUUUUAUAAGCAGACGGUACCUACUCUUACUACUGGACUUUAUGGAGGAAACUGAAAUAAUACAACAAACUACAAAACUUUCAGUAACUUACAAAUGAAUUCUCAAGAGCAGCUGACAGGUGCGUCUGUGCCAGUGAUACAUUUGCACUGUAGUGCAUUUGUGCCAGCAGCCUAGCAGUGACAGCCUUUGAGGAAUCAAGAUUCCAGCUCAGAAUGCCACAGCCUUGCUAGGGUUUGCAAGCAUUUGUCCCAACCUGUGCAGGACAUUAUAUGGGCAGCUGAGCCCUUCUAGGGAUCAGCCAAGCCCACCUAGUAGUAAUGAGCUCAUUAAGGGACACUAUAAAGGAAGCUUGAGGAAAUGGAAGGUUUUCCUUCCCUCCUUGUUUAGCAGCUGCUUUUUGUAAGACUGUAUCCAGGAAUUACUGCAGAAGCUGUACUGCACAAAAGGACAGAAAGGAGAUUAUGCUUUCAGCAUCACUGCAAAGACCAGAUGAAGUGCUGUGUCUCAAGGAGAAGUGAGCAGUGCAAGCUAUACCUUGAACAGCCUGCUGCUGUUAUUGUUGCUGCUGCUGUCAGACUACCUGUCUUGAUGCCAAACCUGCAUCUGCAUGUCGCAAACAGAUGGGUUCACAAAUCAGUUGGCUGCAGUUUUGGAGGAGUGCUGGAAAUUUAUCCUAUGGAGAGCUGGUGUAGAGCCCAGACCUGUCACAGGAGUGCCCUGAGGAGCUGCUCCACAGCAGCCCUCACUUUACCCGCUGCAACCAGUGGGCCAGAAGCAAGGAGCAAAUGGGCCAGGAAACCAGCAUGGGUUCCUCACCCUCUUCUGCUGCUACCAGGGAUCAUAUGCUUUAGAUUAUUCCCUAACCAAAGUUGUGCUGAUUAUUGAUGCUGUGCCAAAUGCAUGUUUACUAACUGUUCCUCUCUGAGUAUAACCAAAUUAGGAAAUACAUUUUUAUUUGUGGUGUCAUUUUAUUAUGUGCAGUAAUUGGGUUUCAUGUGAUAUGUCACCCAGGGGGUUAUUUGUACAUAAAAGGAGAGAUGUUGAGCUCAAUCUCUCUUAUCGUGUGUGUUAAUGAAAUUAAACCACGGUAAAUAAAUUGAUGUAAUUUACCA